UUGCUUCCGUAGCAAGGAUCCUGAAAUUGAAUGAUACCAGCAGGAUGAGGCUGGCUUCUGCUCAAGGAUGCUAUGCAAAUUUAUGAAAUAUUCUCUAGUUUU
rnacentral:snRNA from 1 species